CACGUAGGGCGCAAGCGUUGUCCGGAAUUAUUGGGCGUAAAGAGCUCGUAGGUGGUUUGUUACGUCUGCUGUGAAAACCUAGGGCUUAACCCUGGGCUUGCAGUGGAUACGGGCAGACUAGAGGUAGGUAGGGGAGAAUGGAAUUCCUGGUGUAGCGGUGAAAUGCGCAGAUAUCAGGAGGAACACCGAUGGCGAAGGCAGAUCUCUGGGCCGUAACUGACGCUGAGGAGCGAAAGCAUGGGGAGCGAACAGG
rnacentral:rRNA from 1 species